GCUGGUAGUGGCUACCUUACGCAUUGCCUGUCUGAAAAAUUCGCUCUUCUCAUCGACUGGGGAAUUUGAAAGAGCCGUUAAGUGAGUGGCACUCAUAUGAGCCUUUGCCCCGGACCCGCCACCCCAGAGUCAAGCUGAGGGCAUCGGCAUGCCGCAGGGAAGACGAUCAGGACUGUUUUUAAUCGGGCAGUCGCGCGGAUGGCCUUUUCCCUCUCGCCUCCUUCCGCCCCGCCCCCACUCUCAGCCCGGCCGCGCUGAUUGUCCUGGGUCACAUAAUGCCAGCUGAGCGUAAAAAGCCAGCAAGUAUGGAAGAAAAAGACUCUUUACCAAACAACAAGGAAAAAGACUGCAGUGAAAGGCGGACAGUGAGCAGCAAGGAGAGGCCAAAAGACGAUAUCAAGCUCACUGCCAAGAAGGAGGUCAGCAAGGCCCCUGAAGACAAGAAGAAGAGACUGGAAGAUGAUAAGAGAAAAAAGGAAGACAAGGAACGCAAGAAAAAAGAUGAAGAAAAGGUGAAGGCAGAGGAAGAAUCAAAGAAAAAAGAAGAGGAAGAAAAAAAGAAACAUCAAGAGGAAGAGAGAAAGAAGCAAGAAGAGCAGGCCAAACGUCAGCAAGAAGAAGAAGCAGCUGCUCAGAUGAA
rnacentral:sRNA from 1 species